GAUAUUCGUGUCGCGGGUGUGUUAUAAACAUCAGAGAGAGUGGUUUAGUGUCACUACACACGUGUUCGGUUACCGCACGAGUUGUUAAAGUAGCCUCGUUGUGUCACUUUUGUUAGUAAUGAACGCAGGAGUGUGUCAAGUUUACCGCAAAGUUUCAGUCCUGUGUUCCAGACACGAAUGAUUCCUCAUCCUGUGCUGCUGUUUAAAGUGACCAGACUGCUGGACGAUGAAUCAGGUGAAGAGGCCCUCACACGCACAUUGAACGAGGGGCCCAAGACAUAUCUACAGACCAGAAUAUGACAGACACGGGGCCCUGGACAGACACUGUAUCAUUUCAGACACUUGGGCUCUUUUGAACAGUAAACACCACCCACUCAGAGCACACCAGCAAAGUGGAGUUACAGAGCUGGAAGCGGAGCAGGAGCAGAUCUCUUCAGCAGUCCACAGUCUACUUGUGUCUGAUCUUUACCAUUAUCAGUGGAAACUUAAGAUGCAGAAGAUCACGACUGCAGCAACAAUCAACAGAGAUCCAGCAGCAGCAGCAGAGAUCAACACUAUCAGAGACACUGAAUCUGGAGGAGAUGAAGGAGAGUAAAAGAGAGAAAGUCAUUAAUGUAAGUGAUUGAAUCAGUCUGAUCUACAACAGAAGACCGAGAUCAGCUCAGUGAAUAACUUGUGGAAGUACCUGCACAUGUGUGACAGAGUUGAGUGAUGUCCAGAUGUUGAGUCUGGUUGCUGAUGGGAUUGUUGAGCACACAGCUGUAGGUGUUGUUAUCCUGAUAUUCCACCUCCAGAGGUAGAGAGAGAC